GAGAAGUAUCUACGUCUUUCAACAUCAGCACAAUAAAUUUCUUAAAAAUAUUAACUAGCCAUCCUACAUUUACAGCUAUCACAAGGGCAAUAUUUUCUUAUUUAUUGGUAGUGAUCAUCAAGAAAUCUUUUCAUCCCUUACAAGCUAGCACUUUUGGUGUUGCCUAUAGAAGAAUAUGUCCUGAUCCCAUAGAUAGGAGUU
rnacentral:lncRNA from 1 species